rnacentral:rRNA from 1 species
GAGCGGUAACAGGUGUAGCAAUACAUGCUGACGAGCGGCGAACGGGUGAGUAAUGCUUCGGAAUCUGCCCAAUGGUGGGGAAUAACCAGCCGAAAGGUUGGCUAAUACCGCAUGAGCCCUACGGGGGAAAGCAGGGGAUCGCAAGACCUUGCGCCGAUGGAUGAGCCGAAGCCGGAUUAGCUAGUUGGUAGGGUAACGGCCUACCAAGGCGACGAUCCGUAGCUGGUCUGAGAGGACGACCAGCCACACUGGGACUGAGACACGGCCCAGACUCCUACGGGAGGCAGCAGUGGGGAAUAUUGGACAAUGGGGGCAACCCUGAUCCAGCGACGCCGCGUGUGUGAAGAAGGCCUGCGGGUUGUAAAGCACUUUUAGUGGGGAUGAAAAGCUCAGGGCUAACACCUCUGGGUCUUGACCUAACCCACAGAAAAAGCACCGGCUAACUCUGUG